GACGAACGCUGGCGGCGUGCUUAACACAUGCAAGUCGAACGGAAAGGCCCUGCUUUUGUGGGGUGCUCGAGUGGCGAACGGGUGAGUAACACGUGAGUAACCUGCCCUUGACUUUGGGAUAACUUCAGGAAACUGGGGCUAAUACCGGAUAGGAGCUCCUGCUGCAUGGUGGGGGUUGGAAAGUUUCGGCGGUUGGGGAUGGACUCGCGGCUUAUCAGCUUGUUGGUGGGGUAGUGGCUUACCAAGGCUUUGACGGGUAGCCGGCCUGAUAGGGUGACCGGCCACAUUGGGACUGAGAUACGGCCCAGACUCCUACGGGAGGCAGCAGUGGGGAAUAUUGCACAAUAGGCGGAAGCCUGAUGCAGCAACGCCGCGUGCGGGAUGACGGCCUUCGGGUUGUAAACCGCUUUCGCCUGUGACGAAGCGUGAGUGACGGUAAUGGGUAAAGAAGCACCGGCUAACUACGUG
rnacentral:rRNA from 1 species